rnacentral:rRNA from 1 species
GACGAACGCUGGCGGCGUGCUUAACACAUGCAAGUCGAACGGAAAGGCCCUGCUUUUGUGGGGUGCUCGAGUGGCGAACGGGUGAGUAACACGUGAGUAACCUGCCCUUGACUUUGGGAUAACUUCAGGAAACUGGGGCUAAUACCGGAUAGGAGCUCCUGCUGCAUGGUGGGGGUUGGAAAGUUUCGGCGGUUGGGGAUGGACUCGCGGCUUAUCAGCUUGUUGGUGGGGUAGUGGCUUACCAAGGCUUUGACGGGUAGCCGGCCUGUGAGGGUGACCGGCGACAUUGGGACUGAGAUACGGCCCAGACUCCUACGGGAGGCAGCAGUGGGGAAUAUUGCACAAUGGGCGGAAGCCUGAUGCAGCAACGCCGCGUGCGGGAUGACGGCCUUCGGGUUGUAAACCGCUUUCGCCUGUGACGAAGCGUGAGUGACGGUAAUGGGUAGAGAAGCACCGGCUAACUACGUG